CCGCAUCUGUGCAUGCAGCAUAUCAAUAAGCGGAGGAAAAGAAACUAACAAGGAUUCCCCUAGUAACGGCGAGUGAAGCGGGAAGAGCUCAAAUUUGAAAUCUUAAAGGUUUUCCCUUGACGAAUUGUAGUUUAAAGAAGUGUUUUCUGUUGAAGUUUUGGUAAAAGUUCUUUGGAAUAGGACAUCAUAGAGGGUGAGAAUCCCGUAUUUGACCUUUACUUUCAACUUUGUGAUACACUUUCAAAGAGUCGGAUUGUUUGGGAAUGUAGUCCCAAAAUGGGUGGUAAAUUUCAUCUAAAGCUAAAUAUUGGCGAGAGACCGAUAGCGAACAAGUACCGUGAGGGAAAGAUGAAAAGAACUUUGAAAAGAGAGUUAAACAGUACGUGAAAUUGUCAAAAGGGAAGCGUUUGACACCAGUGUUGUUUUUCUGAAAAUCAAUUAAAAUGGACUCGAUUUUGCUAUUGUUGAGACUUAUCAAGCUAACUGUUACAUUUUUGAGUCUUUUCUUUAAUGCACUUUUCAGUUAACAAGUCAACAUCAGUUUCUUUUGUUGUAAAAGGGUCAUUGGAAGGUGGCUUUCUUUUCGGAGAAAGUGUUUAUAGCCUUUGGCCUCUGCAAUCGGAGAGACUGAGGUCUGCAGCGUAGACUCUUCGGGGUUAGAUACAUUUGUGCUAAGUUAUAGCUUUUUAUAGACAACUUGUUGACUAUAAUUAGUCUUGUAGCUUACUCGCUUAUGCUAUUUUACCUACGCUUAGGAUGUUGAUAGUCACAGCGUGUAC
rnacentral:rRNA from 1 species